GCAGGGGUAGCCAAGCUUGGUCUACGGCGCAAGGUUCAGGGCCUUGUCCUGCAGAGGUUCAAGGGUUCAAAUCCCUUCCCCUGCA
rfam:Thermoplasmatales archaeon SG8-52-1 WOR_8-12_207, whole genome shotgun sequence.